UACGUAGGGUGCAAGCGUUAAUCGGAAUUACUGGGCGUAAAGCGUGCGCAGGCGGUUUUGUAAGCCAGCUGUGAAAUCCCCGGGCUCAACCUGGGAAUGGCAUUUGGGACUGCAAGGCUGGAGUGUGGCAGAGGAGACUGGAAUUCCAGGUGUAGCGGUGAAAUGCGUAGAUAUCUGGAGGAACACCGGUGGCGAAGGCGGCAUCCUGGACCAACACUGACACUGAUGAGCGAAAGCCAGGGGAGCAAACGGG
rnacentral:rRNA from 1 species